GGGGGAAGCUUUCGUCCGCGGGUCGACGCGGCCGCCGGCUCCGCUACCGGGACAGACGCCGCAGAGUACAACCGCGGAGAUUGAGCACGCAGCGCCAUCGACUGAGGAGCUUCUGGACAAGCUGGAAGAGCGGCUGUCCUGCAAGGUGUGCAUGGAGCGCGAGGUGUCCACGAUGUUCGUGCCGUGCGGACACGUGGCCACGUGCGGCCACUGCGCCCUCUCCCUGAG